rnacentral:rRNA from 1 species
UACUACGGCCAUGCCACCCUGAACAAGCCCGAUCCCGUUUGAUCUCGGAAGCUAAGCAGGGUCGAUCCUGAUUCGUACUUGGAUGGGAGACUACCUAGGAAGCCCAGGUGGUGUAGGCA